rnacentral:rRNA from 1 species
GUGAGGAAUAUUGCGCAAUGGAGGCAACUCUGACGCAGCCAUGCCGCGUGCAGGAAGAAGGCGCUACGCGUUGUAAACUGCUUUUAACCGGGAAGAAACCCCAGGACGUGUCCUGGGUUGACGGUACCGGAGGAAUAAGCACCGGCUAACUUCGUGCCAGCAGCCGCGGUAAUACGAAGGGUGCAAGCGUUAUCCGGAUUCAUUGGGUUUAAAGGGUGCGUAGGCGGAGCGUUAAGUCAGUGGUGAAAUCCUGCAGCUUAACUGUAGACUUGCCAUUGAUACUGGCGCUCUUGAGUGCGCUUGAAGUUGGCGGAAUGUGCCGUGUAGCGGUGAAAUGCUUAGAUAUGGCACAGAACACCAAUUGCGAAGGCAGCUCACUAAGGCGAUACUGACGCUGAGGCACGAAAGCGUGGGGAUCGAACAGGAUUAGAUACCCGUGUAGUCC